rnacentral:rRNA from 1 species
GUACACGCUGUGACUAGCAUAUCAAUAAGCGGAGGAAAAGAAACUAACAAGGAUUCCCCUAGUAACGGCGAGUGAAGCGGGAAGAGCUCAAAUUUGAAAUCUUAAAGGGUUUCCCUUUACGAAUUGUAGUUUAAAGAAGUGUUUUCUGUUGAGGUUUUGGUAAAAGUUCUUUAGAAUAGGACAUCAUAGAGGGUGAGAAUCCCGUAUUUGACCUUUACUUUCAACUUUGUGAUACACUUUCAAAGAGUCGGAUUGUUUGGGAAUGCAGUCCAAAAUGGGUGGUAAAUUUCAUCUAAAGCUAAAUAUUGGCGAGAGACCGAUAGCGAACAAGUACCGUGAGGGAAAGAUGAAAAGAACUUUGAAAAGAGAGUUAAACAGUACGUGAAAUUGUCAAAAGGGAAGCGUUUGACACCAGUGUUGUUUUUCUGAAAAUCAAUUAAAGAACUGUUUAUGCUAAGCUGUUUAGACUUUAUCAGCUAUCUGUUUAGUUUUGAGCUUUUCUUAAUGCACUUUUCAGUUAACAAGUCAACAUCAAUUUCUUUUGCUGUAAAAAAGCUUGAGGAAGGUGGCUUGAGAUUCGUCUUAAGUGUUUAUAGCCUCUUGCCUAUGCAGUCGGAGAGAUUGAGGUCUGCAGCGUAGAUCCUUCGGGGCUAAAUGCAUUUGUGCUAAGUUAUAGCAUUUUAUAGACAACUUGUUGACUAUGAUUUGUCUUGUAGCUUACUCGCUUAUGUUAUUUUACCUACGCUUAGGAUGUUGAGUCGUAGAGCACGCAG